GUGGCGAGUGGCGAACGGGUGAGUAAUAUAUCGGAACGUACCCAGUAGUGGGGGAUAACUAUCCGAAAGGAUAGCUAAUACCGCAUACGAUCUACGGAUGAAAGCAGGGGAUCUUCGGACCUUGUGCUAUUGGAGCGGCCGAUAUCUGAUUAGCUAGUUGGUGAGGUAAAAGCUCACCAAGGCGACGAUCAGUAGCUGGUCUGAGAGGACGACCAGCCACACUGGAACUGAGACACGGUCCAGACUCCUACGGGAGGCAGCAGUGGGGAAUUUUGGACAAUGGGCGCAAGCCUGAUCCAGCAAUGCCGCGUGAGUGAAGAAGGCCUUCGGGUUGUAAAGCUCUUUUGUCAGAGAAGAAAAGGUGCGCUCUAACAUAGCGUACUGAUGACGGUACCUGAAGAAUAAGCACCGGCUAACUACGUGCCAGCAGCCGCGGUAAUACGUAGGGUGCAAGCGUUAAUCGGAAUUACUGGGCGUAAAGCGUGCGCAGGCGGUUUUAUAAGUCUGAUGUGAAAUCCCCGGGCUCAGCCUGGGAACUGCAUUGGAGACUGUAAGGCUAGAGUGUGUCAGAGGGGGGUAGAAUUCCACGUGUAGCAGUGAAAUGCGUAUAUAUGUGGAGGAAUACCGAUGGCGAAGGCAGCCCCCUGGGAUAACACUGACGCUCAUGCACGAAAGCGUGGGGGAGCAAACAGGAUUAGAUACCCUGGUAGUCCACGCCCUAAACGAUGUCUACUAGAUUGUCGGGACUUAAUUGUCUUG
rnacentral:rRNA from 1 species